rnacentral:rRNA from 1 species
GACGAACGCUGGCGGCGUGCUUAACACAUGCAAGUCGAACGGAAAGGCCCUGCUUUUGUGGGGUGCUCGAGUGGCGAAAGGGUGAGUAACACGUGAGUAACCUGCCCUUUACUUUGGGAUAACUUCAGGAAACUGGGGCUAAUACCGGAUAGGAGCUCCUGCUGCAUGGUGGUGGUUGUAAAGUUUCGGCGGUUGGGGAUGGACUCGCGGCUUAUCAGCUUGUUGGUGGGGUAGUGGAUUAACAAGGCUUUGACGGGAUGCCGGCCUGGGAGGGUGACCGGCCACAUUGGGACUGGGAUACGGCCCAGACUCCUACGGGAGGAAUGAGUGGGGAAUAGUGCAAGAUAGGCGGCAGCCGGAUGCAGCAACGCCGCGUGCGGGAUGACGGCCUUCGGGUUGUAACCCGCUUUCGCGUGUGACGAAGAGUGAGUGACGGUAAUGGGUAAAGAAGCAACGGCUAACUACGUG